rnacentral:rRNA from 1 species
UACGUAGGGACCAAGCGUUGUUCGGAUUUACUGGGCGUAAAGGGCGCGUAGGCGGCAUAUUAAGUCAGCUGUGAAAUCUCCGGGCUUAACUCGGAACGGUCAAGUGAUACUGUCGGACUAGAGUACAGAAGGGGCAACUGGAAUUCUCGGUGUAGCGGUGAAAUGCGUAGAUAUCGAGAGGAACACCUGCGGCGAAGGCGGGUUGCUGGGCUGAUACUGACGCUGAGGCGCGAAAGCCAGGGGAGCGAACGGG